AGGGCUGUAGCUCAGUGGUUAGAGCAUCUGCUUUGCGUGCAGAAGGUUCCAGAUUCAAUCCUGGCAUCUCUA